GACGAACGCUGGCGGCGUGCCUAAUACAUGCAAGUAGAACGCACAGUUUAUACCGUAGCUUGCUACACCAUAGACUGUGAGUUGCGAACGGGUGAGUAACGCGUAGGUAACCUGCCUGGUAGCGGGGGAUAACUAUUGGAAACGAUAGCUAAUACCGCAUAAUAUUAAUUAUUGCAUGAUAAUUAAUUGAAAGGUGCAAUUGCACCACUACCAGAUGGACCUGCGUUGUAUUAGCUAGUAGGUGAGGUAACGGCUCACCUAGGCGACGAUACAUAGCCGACCUGAGAGGGUGAUCGGCCACACUGGGACUGAGACACGGCCCAGACUCCUACGGGAGGCAGCAGUAGGGAAUCUUCGGCAAUGGGGGGAACCCUGACCGAGCAACGCCGCGUGAGUGAAGAAGGUUUUCGGAUCGUAAAGCUCUGUUGUUAAGGAAGAACG
rnacentral:rRNA from 1 species